rnacentral:rRNA from 1 species
CCUACGGGCGGCAGCAGUAGGGAAUAUUGCUCAAUGGGGGAAACCCUGAAGCAGCAACGCCGCGUGGAGGAUGAAGGUUUUCGGAUUGUAAACUCCUUUUGUUAGAGAAGAUAAUGACGGUAUCUAACGAAUAAGCACCGGCUAACUCCGUGCCAGCAGCCGCGGUAAUACGGAGGGUGCAAGCGUUACUCGGAAUCACUGGGCGUAAAGAGGGCGUAGGCGGGAUAGCAAGUCAGAUGUGAAAGCCUAUGGCUUAACCAUAGCACGGCAUUUGAAACUGUUAUUCUAGAGUAAGGGAGAGGUAGGUGGAAUUCUUGGUGUAGGGGUAAAAUGCGUAGAGAUCAAGAGGAAUACUCAUUGCGAAGGCGACCUGCUAGAACAUAACUGACGCUGAGGCGCGAAAGCGUGGGGAGCAAACAGGAGUAGAUACCCCUGUAGUC